AUUGAACGCUGGCGGCAUGCUUUACACAUGCAAGUCGAACGGUAACAGGCCGCAAGGUGCUGACGAGUGGCGAACGGGUGAGUAAUGCAUCGGAACGUGCCCAGUCGUGGGGGAUAACGCAGCGAAAGCUGCGCUAAUACCGCAUACGAUCUAUGGAUGAAAGCGGGGGACCGUAAGGCCUCGCGCGAUUGGAGCGGCCGAUGUCAGAUGAGGUAGUUGGUGGGGUAAGGGCUCACCAAGCCAACGAUCUGUGGCUGGUCUGAGAGGACGACCAGCCACACUGGGCCUGAAACACGGCCCAGACUCCUACGGGAGGCAGCAGUGGGGAAUUUUGGACAAUGGGCGCAAGCCUGAUCCAGCAAUGCCGCGUGCAGGAAGAAGGCCUUCGGGUUGUAAACUGCUUUUGUACGGAACGAAACGGUCCGGGUUAAUACCCUGGGCUAAUGACGGUACCGUAAGAAUAAGCACCGGCUAACUACGUGCCAGCAGCCGCCGUAACAC
rnacentral:rRNA from 1 species